UCGACUGAACGGGGCAGCUUCACGCUGUUGGUCUUGCUGCGGCUUCCAUCGAAUCUUCCUCGUUUCUUUAACAACUCGGACGACGUUUAUCGCGCGGACAUCGACGAUCGAACUCUAAACACUUCAGCUCCAGAUGACGCCCAGUUUGGCGGCUCGAGACGACGAGCCUGGCCCGAUGUUUACGGAUUCUUUUCGGCAACAUUGGCGGACCUCCACUGCACAGGCUGCUGGAAAUGGAGAGAUUGGUUGAAUCGUCGCUUGGGCAACAUCCUCCUGAUCGUCGAGAAGAUGAAAGUUCUUCUCCCCACCAGAGGCUGCUGGAAAUGGAGAGAUUGGUUGAAUCGUCGCUUGGGCAACAUCCUCCUGAUCGUCGACAAGAUGGAAGUUCUUCUCCCCACCAGAGAAUGUGGAAACGUCCGUUGGAAUUGCCGGCGGCUGUCACCUCCAUCCGGCCGUUGAGAUGACAGAAGAGUUUCCUGCUGGAGGACUGAAGGCUGGCACGGAGGGAACCGUUGGAACGGGUGUCACCUGUAAGAUCGUCUCGUCUUGGAGAAGGCGGAGGCACGGGCUCGGCACUGGAUACAUCGACUCGUUCGGUCGGCGUCUGAAUCCGGAGGUCGACAGUUCAAUAGGUACUGGCGGGUGGGGGGGGGGGUUAAUCAACCUGCCCCCCCCCAUGCUCCCAUUGUUUCAACUUCCACGCCCGGGAGAUGGAAUUAAAGCGAAAGAAAUGCCCAUGUGUUAAGAAAUUUUAAGCAAAUGAAAAUGAGAGCAAAGAUGAAAAUUGUCGCGGAAAUGUUUUUGCAAGUGGAGAUUAAAGCUCUAUCUAAAGUGAAAUAUUAAAUUCCCUGCAGCCACACUACACUGAACUUUUUACUGGUAGGAACCUCCUGGUUACACCAGCCCACAUGGGAUUAUUGUGUCCAUCGUGCAGAGAGGGGCUGGGUGGGGAGGGGCUGGUCACCCCGUGGUGCCCUUAUAAAACUCAACGUUUAACCUACUCACGCCGGCUUGUGCCCGCCCUCACAGUCGGGCAUAUUUGCGGAAUACACCACGCCCUGGCCGUUGACCCUGCAGGCCAUUGACCUGAGCAACCCAACAACGUUCCUACCAGCUCCCUCCGCAGGACAAUGUGUUCUCUUACCAGGUAAAACUACACUGAGUUGUAUCGCUCUGUUUCAACGGUGACCCGGCCAUUGCGAAUGAUCGCUCAACGGGGAGCGGCUUCUAAUGUGGAAAUGUAUAGCAGCCAAAUACUCUAAAACGCGUGAUGUUGAUUAUUACAUGUGGAGGGAGAAAAAAUUAACCCGUAAAAACAAAGUUUUUCACUCUAAAUCCUUUAUAUGCGUGGCGGCUAAAGUCCUCUCGUCCUCUGGCUUGAGAUGGCUGCCACCUAUGGGUCAGAUGAUUGUCUGCCAGCAUUAAGCAAUUGGUAAUUAAAUAUUUUAAAAAAAUUCCCUAAACGGUGUAAAAUUUUGGAAAAUGUUUUUCACGAACAUUAAUUGUCACGCACAACGAGUCUGUGUGGAAAAUCUCAGCUCGAUUGGAUCACGGGAAGUGGGUUAAAAAACGACCGAAAGAUUUGCACGGUCCUAAGCAAGCAAGCACGCAAGCAAGCGAACUUAAUAUGAAGGAUUUUAUAAACGGGAGAGAAAUUCACACGACCACUAGACUUUCACCAUCUGACACUGUUUUAGCCCGAUAUAUGAGCGUCUUGAUAAGAGAGGAUUUCUGAGCUGGGUGAUGAUGCGAAUCUGCAUUCAGAUAGGCAUCAGUGUGCGUUGGCUUUCUGUAAACGCUGUGUUAUUUUACCGGAAUGAAACGAACUCGCGACCCUCCCGUAUACCCGGCGAGAUGGUUGACUUUGUGUUUCGUGCCUUCCACCGGUUCCCAAUUUGGGAUGCCCUCCCAAUAAUCUCUUCUUUACGACCUCUUGUAUUGUCCUUGCUUCCUUCAAUAAAUGUGUUACAACUUUGAUGAGUGUUGUUCACGUUUUUGUGACUGACUAAGCAAACAUCCAGAGCAAGCCAUCGACUGCCAGGUGGAUGUUGUAAGAGCGAGCGCGUGUGCGGUUAUAAUGUUUGUACCACCUGAGAUUUGAAUCGCCUACAAGAGUGAUUCAUGAAAUAAAGGGCCGUUCAUAAAUGACGU